AUUGAACGCUGGCGGCAGGCUUAACACAUGCAAGUCGAGCGAGCGGCGGACGGGUGAGUAAUGUCUGGGAAACUGCCUGAUGGAGGGGGAUAACUACUGGAAACGGUAGCUAAUACCGCAUACCAUCAGAUGUGCCCAGAUGGGCUUAGCUAGUAGGUGGGGUAAUGGCUCACCUAGGCGACGAUCCCUAGCUGGUCUGAGAGGAUGACCGGCCAAACUGGAAGUGAGCCAGGGUCCAGACCCCUAGGGGAGGAAGCAGGGGGGAAUAUUGCACAAUGGGGGCAAGCCUGAUGCAGCCAUGCGGAGUGUGGGAAGAAGGCCUUCGGGUUGUAAAGCACUUUCAGCGAGGAGGCGUUACUCGCAGAAGAAGCACCGGCUAACUCCGUGCCAGCAGCCGCGGUAAUUC
rnacentral:rRNA from 1 species